UACGUAGGGCGCAAGCGUUGUCCGGAAUUAUUGGGCGUAAAGAGCUCGUAGGCGGUCUGUCGCGUCUGGUGUGAAAUCCCAUGGCUCAACCAUGGGCUUGCAUCGGGGUACGGGCAGACUAGAGUGCGUGUAGGGGAGACUGGGAAUUCCUGGUGGUAGCGGUGGAAUGCGCAGAUAUCAGGAGGAACACGAUGGCGAAGGCCGGCUCUCGUGGACCGAUACUGACGCUGAGGCGCGAAAGCGUGGGGAGCAAACAGG
rnacentral:rRNA from 1 species